rnacentral:rRNA from 1 species
AUUGAACGCUGGCGGCAGGCCUAACACAUCCAAGUCGAGCGGUAGAGAGAAGCUUGCUUCUCUUGAGAGCGGCGGACGGGUGAGUAAUGCCUAGGAAUCUGCCUAGUGGUGGGGGAUAACGUUCGGAAACGGACGCUAAUACCGCAUACGUCCUACGGGAGAAAGCGGGGGAUCUUCGGACCUCGCGCCAUUAGAUGAGCCUAGGUCGGAUUAGCUAGUUGGUGAGGUAAUGGCUCACAAAGGCGACGAUCCGUAACUAGUCUGAGAGGAUGAACAGUCACACUGGAACUGAGACACGGUCCAGACUCCUACGGGAGGCAGCAGUGGGGAAUAUUGGAAAAUGGGCGAAAGCCUGAUCCAGCCAUGCCGCGUGUGUGAAGAAGGUCUUCGGAUUGUAAAGCACUUUAAGUUGGGAGGAAGGGUAGUAACCUAAUACGUUGCUACUUUGACGUUACCGACAGAAUAAGCACCGGCUAACUUCGUGCCAGCCGCCGCAGUAA